ACUACUUCCGCUCCAAAUGCCGCCUCUCCACUUUCCCUCCCCAGGCACCGCCGCCGACGCGCCUCUCUGCCUCCGACCUCUCCGAUCUGUUCGCCAUUUUCCCUCCUCCACGAGGCAAAUCUGAUCGGCCGGUCGAAAUGGGCCACGAGGGCACCAAGACGGUGAGGACGGCUGCCCCAACCAUACAAUCCCCCGUUCUUCGACCUGGAUGACACCCUCUACCCGGUGGCCUCCAGCAUUGGCCUCGACUUCGUGAAGAACAUCCAAGAUUAUAUAUGGUCGAGAAGCUCUGAAUCGACAAAAUAUCAGGUUGGAGCUCUGCAUCCUCCUCUACAAGCAGAGUACGGAACCACCGUGGCCGGUCUGCAGGAAACGUGGACAUGCUAUUCUAGGGAAGGGCGAAACCUUGGACGUGUUCUGGUUCUAUCAAUAGUUUCCCUGAUAAUUUCUUUCUGAACUACACAGUACAACAUGCCAAGUAAAAUCUUUUGGUCCAUAUUCACAGAAAACAUAGUGCCAUUGCAUGAUGACAUUGAUCACUUUUGUAUAUAGCCAUCAGUUAUUUUGUUUGUAGACAGAGAAAAUCACGUGUCAAUCUUUUAGUCUGUGAAGAACUAAGAUGAUUUUCUCUAUCUUUUUGCAGACUCUAUGUAGUUUGCAAGGUCUUUUUUCAAAUGCUUUGCCCAACAAAGGGAGUCUUCAGUUUGGUACUUGUUUUAUCACUUCGGAAUGUACUGUAAUUAAGCAGAUUAUAUAUGUUGUACAGUAAUCCACAUCAUUAGUGUCUUACAAAAAACACUUCAGUAGUCAACAAUUUGCAAAUACCAAAUGAAUUAUAGCAAUAUACAUAAAUAGCCAUAGCCGCAACUUGCCCAAAAGACAACACUGUGGGUAGUUACUAUCUCAUUCAUAGAAAUUGGUUGCAGUCAAUUUUUUUCCAAGGCCACAGAAAGUCAAUGUAAUAUUUCACUGAAGAGUGGAACAAGCACUAUCCCGGAGCACCUUCAGCUGGUCGCUCAUCCAUUGCAGGUGCUUUGAGAGAAAUGUGCAUAACAUAUAUCAUGGAUUUGUUUUAUGGAAGGAAAGGAGGAGCAAACAACUUUUGAAUCAUCUACCUGUGAGAUCAUACAUCUGUUACAUGCAAAUAUUUUGAUGUUCUAAACCUCAAUGCAAGCAGUUGUUUUAUAUUGUUAUUCUCAAUCUCAAGGUAAUUGAUUACUUUAUGUAGUUCUAAUUUCUAAUUCAAUAAUUUCUUCCAUAUUAUAAACCAAACGACUUCUAUGUAUACCAUCAAUUGAGUUUCAGAUGAAUGCUAAUGUACCAAUGGGGCACCAACUUGGUUCCAGCAUAAAUACAUGGUUCUGGAGUCCCUAGGCUGGAAACAUUUAGUACUAACCAUUUGCUUUCUUCCCUACAUUUUUCUUUCCCUCUUCUAAAGAUUUUCUGAUUAAGUGCCUGAAAGCAAAUCAAUUUCUAUACAUGCACGAGUUCAGUUUUUCAGUAAUACAUUACUCUCCUCAUCCCAUAAUAUAAGAGCGUUUUUUGAGUCUAUGAGCAUCUUAAAUUUUGUUGCAAUAUAUUAUAUAUGUCAGCACCCAAAAUUUAUUUUGCACAUCCUAUAGAUUAUCUUUCUCUAAAUCAUGUGGUCCUUUUUCAGUUAUCAGUAGCAGUAGUACUACACAAAGAUGAUAAAUCUCUACUACCUAAAAGAAACAUAAGGUUCCGUUUCCCCUAUUACGUCGUUCUUUCGUCCGACCCUCAUUGCGUUUCGUUCGCCCUCCCGGCUCCCGCACCCCUGGACGCCUUCCUGUCCCACGUUAGUUUGUUUCCUCUUAGAACCUUUGAUCAAUUCCCCCCUCACUCAUCUCCUGAAUUCACGGGUUGAUUCUAUCUCCUGCUGAUUUGGCUGCCGCGAGAGUCGCCGACACCGCGAUGAGCGCAACCCAUCACCUCUCCUUUCCAUCUCACAAGCAGCAGGGGAGAUUGGCAACCUUCCGAGGUCACGGACGCGGGCGUCCUAGGGAUUGGACGUUGCCGUCCGGAGGAACUUGGCCCAUGGCUUCGAGGGAUCCAGGGCGUCCUAGGGAUUCGUCUUCGAGCACGGAUUGGAGCACGGGAAGGGAGCAGGCAAGUCUCGUCCGGCUUCGAGGAUAGUGUGGGUGAGACCUCCUGGCCUCCCAUGGCCGUCGCCACCGGGUCGUCUCGUCAGGCCCAGAAGCUGUCGAUCCGGCCGCUGGCCACGCCCUGAUCAUCUCCUUCCCACUCAGUUCGUCCUCCCCUAGCAUCUUACAUCAAUUCGUCCUAGCAGUGCCACCACCGUCUUCCCCUCAUCCCUAAUGACACGAUGGUCCUGAUCGUUGCGGUUCCCCAAUCCGAGUUUCCCCCAAAAAAACCUACAUCUUGUUAGCCCCACCUCGCAUCAUCAUUGCAGAAUGGAGGAUGCCAAAGUGGGAGGCAUGGUUACGGCUUUCGGCGACUGAGCCGGUCGGCUGCGGCGGCAGCAGUAGGGAAGAUGCUAUCUGCCAACAUCCUCUCAAGAUCAUGCGUCACUCAAAUGGCAAGCCCAUGGGGCUGUCGUUAAGGGAAUAUAUCUGAAGCAGCGUCCAGAUCUGACAGUUGAUUAGGUGGGUCUUACUAUGUCUGCUACAUCGCUGCAUGAUAUCCAUAUGAGGGAGGAAUCGCUGAAGAAUGGCUCAGUUUGACCUUCAAUAUGAUUGUUCUAGCUUUCAUUAGGCAAUAGGAACCGUUGUUGCAAAUAGAAACAGCCUGCAAAUGUUUACUUAGCCUGUAAAUUCAGAAAAGAGAACAAAAAUGCACCUGUUGAUACAAAGUGACUAAGGACUUGGGGAGGACCAUCACUACCAACCAAGGAGGACCACAGGAAAGGUAGAACACUACAGCUUGGUCCAUGUUCUGUUAAGGCAAAUUGCAAGGACAAGAACAUUUGAGGGGUUACCAACACAUGAAAUGGCCAGUGCAUAAGGAUCAUCUAAUUCUUCGUUGUUUCCGAACAUGGUGGCCCUUUGGUAGAGCCAUGUGAAGAUUUCAUUUAUGCACCUAUGGCUUAUUAUCUGUCUUGGCAGUAAUGAUUUGUUGUAUUUACUAUCUAAAUCAUUGUGUAUGUUGUUAUGCCAAACCAAUUCAUAUAUGUGAACCUUGCUUCUAUUGA